GAGAAUUUCAUGCGUUGAUUAUACCCAUCUAAUUUGAAAAAUGUAUUUUUUGUCAGACGAGUACAUUACAUACCGUUGAAUUGAAUUGGUUGCCGGUUCCCUCAAAGCACAACGUUAAACGUCCAAGAAAGAGUAAUGUCACAAGGCGCAGCGUGAAGCAGAUCGACAUAUUUUUCUUUCGCCCAAAAAUCUUGAAUAUAGAAAGACACAAACCAUAAAUUUUCACAAUUCUUCUGAAUAAACAAAAUCAAUUUUAA